UACGUAGGGGGCAAGCGUUGUCCGGAUUUAUUGGGCGUAAAGAGCGUGUAGGCGGCUUUACAGGUCCGUUGUGAAAACUCGAGGCUCAACCUCGAGACGCCGGUGGAAACCGUAAAGCUAGAGUCCGGAAGAGGAGAGUGGAAUUCCUGGUGUAGCGGUGAAAUGCGCAGAUAUCAGGAGGAACACCAAUGGCGAAGGCAGAUCUCUGGGCCGUAACUGACGCUGAGGAGCGAAAGCAUGGGGAGCGAACAGG
rnacentral:rRNA from 1 species